ACUCUCUAUCUCGAACAUAAUACGUUAGCACAACCUGGUUCUGAUACCACUUGUUGGUCCCACGAUAUAAAAAUGAUAAAAUUAUGCUAAGCCAAAUAAAGCGAGAAAAAUAAACAAGAUAAGAACACAAGAUAUAUGUGGUUCGGCAAUUUGUUUACAUCCACGGUCCGUGCUCAAUCAAUCUAGUAAAUAAAAUUGUAAGUACAAAUUACAAUGAGACAAUACAAGGUUACAGCUUCACCGCCUAUAACUUACACCAAAACCCUUGCUUAGAUGUAGUUGGACCCACAAUGGAACACCAAUUGUUUAUAAUACUCCGUGAUUAUAGAACUUGAACACUAGAAGCACUCUCACACAAUUUUGUCUCACUCACUCACAAAGUUUAUCACUCUUGGAUUUCAUAUUGUCUUGUGUCAAGAACACAAGAUGUUACCUAUAUUUGUAGGUGUAAUGGAAGCACCUAGAACUCUCUCAAAUACUCCUCCAAUUUCCAACAUUUAUUACAAACCCAAGAGGUGCAAUAGCAGCAACUAGAACUCUCUCAAAUACUCCUCCAAGUUCCAGAAGCACCUAGAACUCUUAGUCAACAUAGGCAUUGAGCUGGAUGCCACAACAGUAAGUGCAUCACCACCUAUGACUUGCUAAUAAAUAUUUUUUGAAGUUUUAACUUGUAGAUUAACAAAUGUAUAAUUCAUUAUGGAAAUACAUCGGUUUUAUAUAUCUUAAUGUGAAGUAAAUAUGUUUUUGCGUUUCUUGUAAUUAAAAUAAUGCAACACAUUUAAGUAUGUUGGUUAACUUCGCAAAUCCCACGGGUCAAUGCUAGUUUAUACAUGGAGCAUGUAUAGUUAUAGGUGUUUUAUGUGUAGAUGGAUCCGAAGUUUUUGAGGAACCAGAGGUACGCUCGGAAGCACAACAAGAAGAGUGGUGAAUCAGUUACUGAGGAAGAGUAGACACAUACCGAGUAGACACAUACCUUCUGAAAUGGCGGGUGCACGGUUUUCUCUCAUUUAGAUCAUUCAAUAGAAUUUUGAGCUAAUGUUACUUUUGAAAACAAAUGGGUUUUAUUAGAUUGUUCUUGUUGCUUUCAACUUGUUUAGUAUGAGCUGAAGCCGUUUCUGAUUAUUGGGAUGUUACUAUUGCCGUCCAUUGAAGAUCAUAUAUUUUUAGCUCAUAUUGGUAGUUAUUUGAAUUACAUUGCUUCUUAUCUUGGUGUUCCUCGAUGUUUUCAUUUUAAUUUGAUCGGGCAGAGAUUUUUAGUUGCUUCUUUAUUAGUGAUGAAGCAUUGAAACGGUGGAAAAAGGAAAUAAGAGUUACAAAUAUGGUUCUUACGAGUUUAUUGGAAGGUGAUUGCGAAAUAGGUUAUAGCUUAUUGAUCAUUGAUCACCAGUUUGUGUUGAAUUGUGUAAAUUAUAAUUCAGAUAUGUUUGCUAGAGAUGUCUUCAUUCUUGGGGUGUCUUCUCUACAGAGGUAUAUCUUUAUAGUUAUUUCAGCCAGCUAGUGCCUCUUUAUUUAUGGACUUAAUUAGGGAAGAGGAAGUGAGCUUCUUUGCCACUAAAGACUGUUAUUCUAGUAAUGCAAAUGGUGCAUGAAUUAUUUGAUCACAACCUAUCAUGGUAGCAAGACAAUGGCCCUCUCGCUGUCAUUUAUAUUGUAUGCAAUCUCAUCUUAUAUAUGUUUUGUCAUAUUUGAGAAUCUCCAUCAAUACCUCGAUGUAGAUCCAUGAUAAUCCUUUGUUCAAUAGGCAGAGGACAUGUCACAUGCCUCGAGGUCAUUAGGCUCACAGAGUUUGAGUUUGAAGUUUAAUCCUUCAUGUGAGAGGCCUUCCUAGGCGAUCUUUGAGUGGGAUUGAGUGGUUACAUUUGCUUUGUAGCCUAGUCUCAAACAAUGUUCUCAUUAAUACAUAUUGGCGGUUGAGCUCACAAAAGUUUAGGAUUUGGGACUUCACGGUAUCUUUGAUAAUUUUGCAGGCUGCAGCCGAUUGCAUGCCUCUCCCUCUAGAUUCUGCUCCUGUGGUUCUGCAACUGUUAGAAACUGUGUGAUUUAUAUUUUCAUUAAGCUUUUAUUUGCAACUUGUUAGGUUGUCUUUGGGAAACGAAUUGCUUUGUGCUCUUUUGCUGAGCAUUUGUAGUUUGGUGGUUGCAUGAAAAUAGUAACCUUAUAGUUUGUUUUAGUUCCAUCAAAAGCAUCCUGUUUUCUUCUAGGCUCGUUCCUUUUUAACGGUUGCCAAAGAGCUUCAAUGCCAAUAUUUGUUUUUUCUUUUAGAUUUGACUCGCUCCAUUUCUAGCAAGACUUGUUUACUGUAAUAACGGUGGGUACUCACUCACCCGACGCUUGUGUAGAAGUAUAAUUGAUUCUUGAAUAUAAAUUGAUUUUUUUAAAAAUUUAUUUGAAGCAUUUGUGGAGUAUUUUUUGUAUAAAAAAAACGUGAGUAGACUACAAAUUAGAGUUCAUACUAAAUUGAGUUAUUGUCUAUUUAUAAUAGUAUAGAUUGUGUUACUACUAGGAAUUUCAAUGAAAGUUUUGUGUACCGUCGUCAAUUCAACUAUGGAUUUUCAACAAUUUGGAUUGUCCCGUUUGGGGUAAGUUUUUUUUUUGAGUUUAUAUAACUAAUUUGGUUUUUGAGUUUUUUUUUUUUGAUGAUUUUUUUUUAUCUUUUAAUUCGAAUUUUAUAUUUUUUUUGAUUCCUCACAGUGAGGAGUUUUUCAUUUUUUGGGUUUAAAAAUGCAAUUUUUUAAUCUAAUUUAAGUCGUUUUUACUUUAAAAAAAUUACAUAUAAAUAGUUUAUUUUUAUUUUUAGUGAUUUUUUUAAAUUAGGUAAAAAAAAUUAUAUUUUUAACUUUUUAUCAUCAAAAGAAAUCAGUAAAUAUAAAUUUUAAAUUAAACGAUAAUUUUUGUACUAAAUACAAAAAAAAAUUCAAAAAAAUAAAGUAAUUGUAUAAAUUCAAAAAGAGUUGUCCCAAACCGGCCAAGUCAGUAAUUUUUUUACCACCCAUUGUUUGUGCUAUAGCCCUUUGAACGGUCAAAUAAGUUUUCGUAAUUGUUGACUUUUGACUCUUUGCUUCCACUUUUUCGAACAUGUAUGUGCAAUGGUUCGCAUUUCAGUUUACAUAUCUAUUCAUUUUGUACAUUAUAUGGGAUGGGAUCUAGAUUUUGAGAGAGAGAGAGAGUUGUUUGUUUCUGAUCAAUGAAAACAUCACUAAACAAUAUACCCCCUCAAACCAUAAGAGGACAAUAGUGAAUAUAUUUUUCACGAAUAUUUAUAUAUAUUAAUGUUUUUAUUUUAUGAAUAUUUAUAUACUUUUCAACUGUAUUGAUUUUUUUUCAUCAAUCACCAAUAAGCCUGAACCUUUGAACCAUCUAAUUUUUUAAUUUUCUUUUUACUUCUCUCGCAAAAUCUUUAAUCCCAAACCUAUCAAAUGAAAAACUUAAUUCAUGGAGAUAAAGCUUCAAAAGUAAAUGGUAAAAUUCAUAUAUAAACCUAUGAUAUCUAAAUUAGUAAAUUUUAAAAAGUACUAGGUGGUAAGUGGGCGGCCGGUUAGAGCUUAGGCACCUAGGUGCUUUUUUUAUUUAUUUAUUUAAAAAAUUAAUAUUUACUAAAAAUAAUAAUAAAUGAUCAAAUAUCUAAUCUUAACAAAAAAAUGAUAUCAAAAUAGUAGAGUUCAACUGUUUUAAUGCUGAACAAUACUAAGA
rnacentral:lncRNA from 1 species